AAGAUAAUGUUGAUAAAGAACAAACAGGAUUCCACUGAUUAAAUUAGGUCAUGUGCACAUUCUGUGCCCCAAACAGGAAUAUGAGUGUGUCACUUUCUAUAUAGGAAAAUGAAUGCAGAGAAUGGACAGCAGAGGGAGCCCAUGAUGAGUUUUGACCAUCAAGAGAUGCCAAAAUGGAACCAAAUCUCCAUGAACUCUGCUAAUGGAAGACGAGGAAAAGGCAGCAAAAUGGAAUAACAGCAAACAACAUUGGAGGAGGAAUUGUCUGGGAGAGCAGCCAUUUUAAAGAAGAGCACAUUAAGUCACAAACAGUCGCAGCUGAUCUACUUUGCAGCGUCGCCAUACAUGCCUAACUAAAUAUUGAAAUCCCAGGAAAAACUCACUGUGCAUCAUGUUCCAGAAACUAGCUUUGCAAACAGUCUUUUCAGAUGUGUACGUUUUGUGUAUUUGAGGCAUACAAUAUCUAUCUUUUCCUCCAUGCUCACCCAACCUUUACUCCUAUAUUUAAUUCAGCUGCACUGCCAUAAAAGCAUUUCUAUAAAGUACUUAAUUUCAGGUGAGGCAGGGCAAAGAGAAGCCCCCAGGCCCAGGCUCUCCCUCCAGGAGAGGUUUUCUAUUGGGGAUGAUUUUGUCUCCCCACCCCCACCCCAAAUCUUCGGGGACAUUUUUCAAUGUCUGCAGCACUUUUUGUUGUCAUGGAGGAGAGGUACUAUAGGCAUCCAGUGGGUAGAGGUCAGUGAUGCUGCCAAACAUCCUACAAUGCACGGGACAGCCCCCUAAAUGAAGAAUGAUCUAGCCCAAAAUGUCACUAGUGCCGCUGUUGAGAAACUUGCUCUAGGAGCUUGUAAUUAUGACAUCAGGGCUGGCCUGUUUUGUGUUCAAUGAAAACGUGGUUGCAGCUCUCUAUUUAAAUCAUCGUUUGGGCUGGGUGCAGGGGCUCAUGCCUGUAAUCUCAAC